ensembl:lncRNA
GAUCUCACUAAGUCAUUAAGUUGCUUACCCUGGGCUUCAACUUGGGAUUCUCCUGCCUCAGCCUCCCUGAGAUUCAGACAUGCAACACUAUUCACUGACAGUCUUAACAGAUGCUUAUUUGGGUUGAUGAGAUUAAUAAAGAGUUCGUUCCUCAGCUACCAGCACUUCUAAGUGGUUCACAUGUUGAUGAAUUGAUCAGAAGUCUCUCUGAAGAGGCUGAUUUUUAAACCAAAGCCCAACUUAUUUAUAAAGGAAGAUCCAUCUAACCUAAUGUGUACCUGAUUAUAAUGCUAUACAGGAUAAUCUGUAAAAUAAAAACGCUAAAAUACCAAGAAAAGAACAUAUGGGAAUAGGGUGUAAAAGAGAAGUCAAGAUAGAAGAUGAAUUUGAGAGUUAUAUGUGUGGAGAAUUAGGAGAACAAAUCAAUUGCCAUUGCCAUGGUGAAAUGAAGAGACAGCUGAAAUCCUAGACUACAGGGGUACAUGUAGAAGACAGGAUGGUUCAAAUGCAUAUGUGCUGCCGAAGCG